rnacentral:lncRNA from 1 species
AGCUUCAUCUUCGCUGUUCUGUGUGAUCAAAUUUUGCCAUCGACGUCAACCUUGGUGGGAUUUUAAUUAGAUGUGAAGGAAGUAUGAGUUUUAAAAUUGAAGCUGAAGCAGCAGAGGAUAAGGGGUCAAGGCACAUCAUGAUAAUUGGUUUUUAUUGUUGGGAGGUGUUUCGUAAAGUUUCGAAAUUUGAAUGUUAAGGUGUGCAGAUUUUGCAAUUCAUGAUGAGCUUGGAGGUUGAUUAGCUGCAGAAUAUGCUAAGAAGGGUUUGCAUACAUGUGAGUUGCAUUACCAUGUGAGUUGGUUUGUUUACUCGGUUUGAUUUCAUGUAUAUACUAGGCAGUUAAUAGCUUAUAUUGAAAUAAUCAUGAUUUGAUGAAAAUUAAUAGGUAGUAAGAUUUGAUUUGAGUAGUAAGUCUCAUGUAGGAAUGAUGUAACUAUCUUCCGCAUGCACAUUAGUAGAUAACGGAUCAAUUUUCUUGAUAUCUUACUUACUGCAUUCCUGCAAUCUGUUCGAGUCUAAUUGGAUUCUGUGGUGCUGCAGUUGAUU